GUGGGGCAGUCGGGGCUUUCGAGGCUUGCAGACGCGGCCCGUGUGUUGUCUGGAGCAGGCGGAGACGGCGGCCGCUCCUGACGCGCUAUUGUAGAAACCAGAUUACGCUGCUGCUGCUAGAUUCUGCUCUCAGACUCUCCAAAUUCUCUUUGUUGCACUAUUAACAGUUUUUUUGUAAUUUGGUUUUAGUUGUGUCCCAGGUUUGAGUUCCCAAAUUAUGUCGGUUGUGUGUCUUUUAAGAAAAUAUGUGUAAAAUGAGCUCUUUUAAUGUUAACUAGAAUAAAGGACCAUAUAUUUUUCCACUUAA